AGCAGCCGCGGUAAUUCCAGCUCCAAUAGCGUAUAUUAAAGUUGUUGCAGUUAAAAAGCUCGUAGUUGAAUUUCGGGAUCAAUUAAUUGGUCGUGCCUCUGGUACGUACUGAUUUUAUUGGUUUCUCCCUUCUGACGAACCAUGAUGUCAUUAAUUUGGUGUCGUGGAGAAUCAGGACUGUUACUUUGAAAAAUUAGAGUGUUUAAAGCAAGCUAACGCUUGAAUACAUUAGCAUGGAAUAAUGAAAUAGGACGUUUGAUCCUAUUUUGUUGGUUUCUAGGAUCGACGUAAUGAUUAAUAGGGAUAGUUGGGGGCAUUAGUAUUCAAUUGUCAGAGGUGAAAUUCUUGGAUUUAUUGAAGACUAACUACUGCGAAAGCAUUUGCCAAGGAUGUUUUCAUUAAUCAAGAACGAAAGUUAGGGGAUCGAAGACGAUCAGAUACCGUCGUAGUCUUAACCAUAAACUAUGCCGACUAGGGAUCGGAUGAUGUUAAUUUUUAAUGACUCAUUC
rnacentral:misc_RNA from 1 species